CCUUUCAAUGCAGCAGAAUUGGAUGGUUGAGUAUCUCGCCUCUCCGUUCUGCCUGUAUUCUACCCUUGUUUGUCAUAUACUAUUAUUUCCUCGGCAGGCUUGCCUGCCGAGUGAAACCAUUUAUAACCUUUUUAAUUUUCAAUCAGCGUCUGAAAAAAUUAAUAAUUA
rnacentral:misc_RNA from 1 species